rnacentral:sRNA from 1 species
CAUGACGAUACCUUUUCCAUCCCCAUCCUUGAAUUGCCUCGCCUUGGAGGAAGCUUGACAUGGACCCCACGACGUCUGGCAGCAACCACCAACGCCAUGAUCAUGACUGCCAUCUCAUGCUCCCCUCCCCGCACCACAUUCAACGGAUCGACUACGGACAGGUCCAUCCCUAGAAUAUCAUCCGCCAACACUCCAAGGACACAUUUGAUGACGACGAGUUCGUCGUCGGAUGUUUGACAUAGUCGGGUAGAGUGUGGAAGAGGGAGACGGGUUUUGAGGAUGGUCUCAAGGGUAAGCAGGAGGAGCGAGGGGGGGAUGGCGGUGAGCGAGGGUGGGUGAAUAGGGAUGUGGAGGGCGGUGAGGAGUUGGUGGAAGAGAGGGAGAGGGGGUGUCGGCAUGGAGAAGGUUUGAAUGGAUGGAUGAGAAAUGACAGAAAACUGGGCGAAGAAUGAAUGAUAACUGAAGAACCAAGCAUAGCGCGUCUGAGUCGAGGAACAAACAAACAAAGACAUGACAAAACACUGGCGUUUGGGACUAAGGCAAGAAUCAUACUGCCAACUGCCGAGAAACUCACACACAAGGUCAUUGUCUACUAUUCACCUACGAUAUAUGCACAAGUAGUACAUUUAACGUAAUUGCUGUGAUAUGGACCAUUACAAGAAUCAGAGAUUGCA